rnacentral:lncRNA from 1 species
ACUGACAUCUGCCGGAAAAAAUGUGACAUUACACUGACUGGAGUUAGUUGGAGCAAAAUAUGACAAAUUUGAAAGCGAAAGUCGUCGACAUCCUGCGACAUUUGUCUUCUCGUCAAUCCGAAAGAGACUGGUUUGCAAAGACUCAACCAAAAAACGGUGAAAAAUGUAAGUUUAUCUUGACUGUUUUUUUUUCUAGUCGUCUGAAUUAAGGUUAAUGUGACUUAAAAACGUACCACAAAUGAUCAGAGACUGUGUAAUAGCCUAAGUGAAAGUGAACCGGGGCGGUGGGGGGAUUUCAAGUGGUGGAAAAAGUCCUUUGUCAAACUCUCUAAGAAAACCUUCAGAAAUUAUGUUGUCUUCGAAAAGUACAUUCAGUGUCAUGAAGAGAGGAGGUAUGUCCCUGUGACUGACAGCCUUUAAGCGGAUCUUCAUGAGAUAACCUGUUGGGGUGUAAGGUAGCAAGUGUAACAGUCGGGGUAAGGAAGUUUGUUCUGCUGCAGGCCACUGUUAGGGGAGACCGGGUCUUGUUGUCACACAUUUAACGCUCUUAUAUCUUACUGGGAAUCAAAACAUCAGAUGUAAACAAAAUAUUUACCAACGUGCUCUGGAGUUUGGAGAGCUGUCUGACUGUAUUCUGGCUGGGAUGAAUGUUUUGCAGUACCAAACUAAGGUAUGCUAGUUGACAUGAAAGUCCUUUAUCGUCUACCAGAUUGAUUUAUUAGAUAGGGUCACCUGUCUGACUGCCCUCAGCAUCACGUCAGGUACUGCACUACCAUGUUCUGUUUUUCUUAUGUAAUUCCUGAUCAUGUCUUCUUGCUUUCAUCUCUCCUUUAAACCACAGUCUUCUCCGUAAAAAUAUAGUCAAAAUAUCAAUUUGGCAACUGCUGAUAAGCAGACUCUCUAUGUUAAUUUGAAUCCCUUUUAAACAUGUGACAACUAACCCCAAAAUGACUGAGACAUGUUGCCCCAAACUACCAUGUUGGCUAAUUCUCGCCCUAGCUUAAAGUUAGCGUAAAACAGAACAAUGACUGAAUUAUGACAGAAUGCUGUAAUCCCCCCUUUAACAAGUCCAUGUGUAUCACUGCUAGAAUUUUUAUCUGGAAGAAGCUUAUUUUAAAAUAUAUAAGGUUAAUUUUCUUUACUUUGGAUUGCGCAAAAUGGUUAAUUGGCGCUCAUCUCAGCUCACAAUGUGGUCUUCUCUUCUCAGACAGGACACGACCCCUGAUCAUAUAAAGGAAGCAAACUAGUAUUCCACUUUUUAGUUGCGCCCUCUGGUGGCAAAGAUAAUUGCAACGUGACAACUUACCCAUGUGACAACAAGCCUCCCCUACAUAAAAACAUGAGUGUGGUUGUAACAUUUUCCCUCUUGUUUUUAUGAAAAGGGUGAAAAUUUUCCCGUUUGUAACCGGAAAAACUUUGGACUCCCACACGGAUUUUCUUAGAAAACUGAAAAGAAAGGGUGCAAAGGUGGUUGAAUCACAUGAAGGUGCUGUGGUCAUCGUCUUCUGUCCCAUCGUCAGUCGUUAUGAGACUGACAUUUCUGCAGCGUUAUCCAGCGUCUCAGGUAAACACACCAAAACAUGAAAAAGUACUCAUGCAAAAGUACAAGGUCAUGUGCUGUCUUUAAGCUUUACAUCCUUGUUUCUUCUCGAAGACUCCAAAAUCAGGCAACUGGACUGUGUAGAGUUGACAAACAGUCUUUAUGAGACUGACAUUUCUGCAGCAUUCUCAACUCUUCACAGUCCAGUUCCCUGAUUUUGGAGUCUUCAAGAUAAGUAUGACCUGGAUGAAUAAAAAUCUACAUGGACAUCCUUGUUUCUUUUUUUGCCACAGAAAGAGAAUAUGAGCAAGUGAUCCUGGUAGCCUUGCAUCACACUUAUGAUAAAGAGUACACAGUACCAAAUCAUGGAGAGUACCAACAUCCUAAACUCAGGCUCCUUGUGGACUGUCUCUUUUAUGAAGAUCAGGGACUUCUGAAAUGCUCCCGCAAUAAAAAGAUGGUGAAGAAAGUCUGUAAAGAGGUAAGAGGUUACACAACAAGCAAAUAAUAUAAGAAUAAUAGUAAGAAUAAAUUAAAAAUCAUCCUUUGUCAUGGCAUUCAAAUUAUUUGGAAAGUGUAUAGAAAGGCUGCUUCUUUAGUGUUUGAAAAUUGCUUUGUCUGACCUUCAGGCCUCAGUUACAGACAUUAGUUAUCACUAAAAAUAAUCAGCAUUGUUACUGAUGGUCUUAUUUGCCUAGUGUUUUCACCAGUAUUAAUGUCAGUCUGCUUUGUGAACAAUCAAAACUUCUUCCUUAAAAUAAGAAAGAAGCAAAAGAGGACACUAUAUGAAACAUUAAUCACCUUAAUGGAAAACUGUGUUUUAUUAAAUCAUUUAUAUUUGCAUAUUUAAAUAUCUUGUUCUAUGUUAAAAACAGUAUCAAACAUUGUAUCUCUGUUUUUAACUUCCGAAAUAUAGAACAUCAACAUUUUCAUCAUUGUACUUUGGCUUGAAAUUCACAGUUUUUCUUCUUUUGUGUUUAUUUUGCAGCUGAGAGUGAAACCGGGAGUGGGACGCAGGUUUAAAAACCUGAUGUCAAAGAGGAAUAAAGGGAGGAAAAAUUAAGUGUAAAAAGCAACAAAUUAAAAUUUGGAUUUAGGAGUGUUGACCAAAAGAAGUACGAGAAAAUGGAGAUGAUUACUACUGAGCUGUAAAACAUGAAGAAACUCCUGAACCACUGAAGUUAACUUUGGUCUUAAUGAAUGCAUUACAUGAGAUAAUGCAACUUUGUCUGUUUGUUAGCUUCUUCUUGGCAGAAAAAAAAAAUGAAACUACUCUGUUUAUCAAGUAUAUGGAAAUGCAUGUUACUUAUUUGUAUGACUUCACAUUAAGCUUUCCAAUUCUAAAGUAAUGUUAAACUCAAGGAAAAAAAAAAGAAAGAAACUGAAAUAUAGACAUUUAACUUUUUUUGUGAACUUGUCUUGUUGCUUUAUCAUCUAUUGUGCCAAUGCCAGUGUCCUUUAUAAGUUGUAAUAAACAGAAAAAAAGUAUUUUUAUUAUUGUCAUUAUUAAAUUUCUUAAAUAUGAGUUUAAAGUACGUUUUAUCAUGUGUAGUGAUCAUGAUACUUAAGAUUAGAUGCCUAUGUCAGCCUUAAUACGAAAAUGAAAGUAAUGACAGAGCGAAAGUGAGGAAAAUGUUAGAGCUCCCCCAUAGGUCCUGAAGCCUGCCUCUUCAAUGUAAACAGAGGAGACUUGGGUCAACCCCAGAGAUACCUAAGAGAGAAAUGGUUGUUUUUCUUAAACAUGAUCUGUCUUUAAUUCAAAUAUCCAUUUUUGGAGAAAAUUAUCUUUGAUUAAUUGAUGCUAUUAAAGGGGAUAUUGCAUACCAAGCCCUGUUGACAAAUCCAUCUGUGGUGCUUUCUGUACUGGAGACAAAGAGUUUUAGUCCAUGCCUGUUUAUAUAUCCACAGCAACACUUUACUCGAUGAAGAUGUAUGUUUGGACAAGAACACCUUGCUGAAGCAUGAACCUGACAGUGUUAGAUACUGUGUCUCCUGUGGAUUCCUGUAAAUCAUAAGCUAACCUGUGUAAUAUCUGUAUGAUGGUCUGACGCUCUGUGUUGCAGACUUUUUGAAACCACCUGUGGAAACAAAUCUACCAGAACAAGAGGAAAUCUAAGCAUUUCACAGCAUAUGUUAUGAGAUUCUGCCUCGUCAGCUGUAGACUUUUUGGUGUAGUUUGUUAUCUUUUAUUUCUCUGCUUUAAAUUUAUUACAAAGCUACAACAAAAUGCUUCUAAACCUAGUCUUUGGUGAGGUGGGUUUGAGUUUCUGUACUAAGGAUACUGUCAUCAAUUUAUCUGUUUUUAAGUGUCCCCAUGGUGCCUCUGCCAAAAAUUAAACAAGCAAACAAGUAAAAUUCAUGAACAAGUGAAAGGUAUUUGGAGCAGCUCUAUUUUUAUGCGACUGAAUGUAACAAGAUUUCACGUUCUGUUUUAGGACAAUUCAACACCCAAAAGUCUCCUGAAGUUUAAGGAACAGUCACACUUAAUUACACAGAAAAAAGAAAAUCAAGGUUUUCACAAAAUUAAAAGUUUUGAUUAUGGCUUUGGUCAUCAGCUUGAAACUUGGGGAGUCCCGAAAUAUCACAAUGAACUGUGUUAACUCUUUGUUUGCAGCAAAAGAAGAGGAAAAUAAACAAAUUGUGGCUUUAUGGAGAUAACAUUUUAUCAUAACUUUGAGACUUUUUCUCUUUGCAUUUUUACUGUUGCCAGUUUCUUCAAAGUAACUUGGUAAAUGGACAAAAAGGUCAAAUAAGUCUAACUUUUUGUUGCAAGGCAUGCAUUUGUUUGGUUCUCUUGGUUUCUCCUUGUUUGAUUUUUUUUUUCCAAAUAACCGACCUUAACUUGAUACUGUUUAAAAAUGUUUCUGUAUGAGAUGCAGGAUACUUUCAUACUGUACUCCCAUUGGCCAAGGCAGGGUUGCUACCCAAGUAAAAGUAUGGAAGUAAUUUGAUAAAUUUCCAGGUCUUAAAAAGUAUGGUAAAUGAAAAAUAAAGUAUGGAAAAAUAUUAAUGUUAACAGAAUAUAUUACCAUGGUUAUGAAAUAGUGUUUUAUAAGAUAAAAAAGUAGGUAUUCCCAAAAAUGAUUUUAAAAAGUAGGGUAUGGAAAAGUAUGGAAAUUCCAAUUGUGUUGGAACGCUGCCAAGGACUGCAGCGGUAUGACUGCGCUUUGCCUUUUAUCAGGUGUAAUGUAUAAAGGAUAGUCUUCAUUGAGUUUCUUAAACAUGCUCUUUAACAGACUAAGUCAGCUGAUAAACAAAUUUAGUGCUUAUCUUUAUGAAGUUAAGAUACAACUCAUAAAGAUUUGUUGUGGGUAAAGCCAAAAGUGAAUAUAUUUCUGAAUGUAGUUCAUGUGUCACACACAAGGUGGCAGUUGGAGUUGACAUUUUCUGCAACAACUCACUGAGGCUGUUCUUGGUGGCCAACAUGAACGCUAGACUUAUUCAUACUCCAUCACUGACAACUUCAUGGUGUCAAAUUCAUAACUUAGGCUGCAAAAGUGCGAAUUGAGUCAAACCAAUUCCACUUUAGCGAAAAAAUUUCCAUAAUUCAAGCAUUUGUGCUUAACUUAAAGUCUGAGAUGCUUCUAAAAAUAACAAAUUAUGUCCAAAAUGACAAAAAAUGACCUCAGUACAACAAUUCUACAGCUACACCUAACGUCUAAACACUUCAAACAAACAAAAAUCCUCUUUAAAGCAUAAUCUUUCUCCUUAGCAUUAAAAUGCUUGUUUUGACUUAAAACAGAGUGACAUUCUUGAAUGCACCCUGACCGAAAAAACACUGAAAUCCAUCCUGUCUGCAUGGGUGCACAGACUGCAGGCCCACAUCUGCAUAUGAACGUGGACACACGCCAACACACAAACACAAACACACACACAUACACAGAUGCCCUCACACACAAAUGCACAUAUACACACACAUAUAACAACACUGUGUACAACCCAAAAGUGAGUUCUCACAGACAGGAAAUGAUGUCAGCUCUUGUCUCCAAGGAGAUGGAGGCAGUUGCUAAGAUACUGUGACACUAGGAUUUUUCUCUCUAUUUUCUCUCCCUCUCUGUUUCUCAAACGCACACACACACACACACUCGCAGGGAUGUCACCACGAAUAACUUGAAACUCUCGCUUGUGUCUCUCUUAUUCUUUUUGCACAGAUGGCAAUGAGGACCAAUCCAACUUUUUUGUUACAUUUUCUAAAAAUAACCGUAGAAAAAAACAUCACUUUGUUCACAUUCCUGAUUGGACGCUGGAGGCCUUGAAAAGGGAUCGCUAACGCUUCAUGGCCUUAUCUAAAAUAAAAAAUUCUACAUUCAUAAUCUUUGCUUUGAACUGUGUGAAAUCAGCCCACCACCCACUUUUACGGCCUGUAGCUAAAACCCUGAAACCAUGCAAGUGAUGGAUGUGUAUCAGCACCCCUCCAAAGCUUCUUCACAGUGUGAGCUGCACCUCUCUGGUGCUAUCAGCAUGCCACAUAUGUCUUGGCACUAGCAUGUUGCUGCCAAAUCCUCCUCGCCCUCCCCCUAAACCUCCUCCCUCUCCUUCUCUGCCUGUGGCUCCUGAACGCAGCAUUAAAGAGUUUAUGGGGGUUUGGGCUUGUAUUGGAAAACGUCCUCAGUCCUCCCUGCGCUGUAUUUUCUACUCUGAGAGCCUUCCUGUACUGAUGACACAAGCAAUACAGCGAUGAGUGUUUGUUCAUUUACUGUGCACAAAUGCAUGUCCCUCUCCCUCUCCCUCCCCUUCGCUCUAUCACUCCCACACACACACAAUCACACACAUACGCUCAAGGGUGCCAGCACACACACACACACACACAGGCGUAGCAUACAUGCAUAAGGGGGAUAUCAGAUUCAAUGUGCAAUGACACAGUGAGGACAUAGAGUGGAAAAAAGAGGGGGGAAGGAAGGGAGGAAGGAAGGAGAGCGGAGGCAAAGACGGUGGUGGGUUUGGCAUGGGCGGCGUGGAAUCAUUUGAAAUGGCGCGGGGGCUGGGGGGGGUGGGGGGGGUGCAGAGAGAAAGGAGUAAUGCACUUAAAAAAAAAGGCAGCCAGGGUCGAGGCAAGAGAGACUGGAUGUGGGCUAAGAUUUCAGCAUGAGUGAUAGGGAAUGAGGGGAAGAGGGGAGAACGAGGGGAAAGGAGGAAUAUCCUCUGCACCACUGUGUGACUGGAAAUUUAAUAGAGGGAGAGGGAGAGAGAGAGGGAGAAAGAGAGAGGUAGAUGGGAGGGGGGAGGGGGAGAGGAAGAGAGAGGCAAAAAGGCACAGAGACCUCAUUGCUGUGCAGCUUUCAGCAAAAGCUAGUGGUCGUGAACAAUGCUCACUACGGCAUUCACAGGGAGGGGAGGGGGCAGAGAGAUGGAGAGGAGGAGGAGGAGGAGGAGGAGGAAGAGGAAGAGAGAGAGUAUAUACCUCUGGGGUCUUUCUGAAGCAUAACUGGCCUUCUCUGUCCUUUGA